UAGGGAAUCUUCCGCAAUGGGCGAAAGCCUGACGGAGCAACGCCGCGUGAGUGAUGAAGGUCUUCGGAUCGUAAAACUCUGUUAUUAGGGAAGAACAAAUGUGUAAGUAACUAUGCACGUCUUGACGGUACCUAAUCAGAAAGCCACGGCUAACUACGUGCCAGCAGCCGCGGUCAUACGUAGGUGGCAAGCGUUAUCCGGAAUUAUUGGGCGUAAAGCGCGCGUAGGCGGUUUUUUAAGUCUGAUGUGAAAGCCCACGGCUCAACCGUGGAGGGUCAUUGGAAACUGGAAAACUUGAGUGCAGAAGAGGAAAGUGGAAUUCCAUGUGUAGCGGUGAAAUGCGCAGAGAUAUGGAGGAACACCAGUGGCGAAGGCGACUUUCUGGUCUGUAACUGACGCUGAUGUGCGAAAGCGGGGGGAUCAAACAGG
rnacentral:rRNA from 1 species